GACGAACGCUGGCGGCGUGCUUAACACAUGCAAGUCGAACGGAAAGGCCCUGCUUUUGUGGGGUGCUCGAGUGGCGAACGGGUGAGUAACACGUGAGUAACCUGCCCUUGACUUUGGGAUAACUUCAGGAAACUGGGGCUAAUACCGGAUAGGAGCUCCUGCUGCAUGGUGGGGGUUGGAAAGUUUCGGCGGUUGGGGAUGGACUCGCGGCUUAUCAGCUUGUUGGUGGGGUAGUGGCUUACCAAGGCUUUGACGGGUAGCCGGCCUGAGAGGGUGACCGGCCACAUUGGGACUGAGAGACGGCCCAGACUCCUACGGGAGGCAGGAGGGGGGAAUAUUGCACAAUGGGCGGAAGCCUGAUGCAGCAACGCCGCGUGCGGGAUGACGGCAUGCGGGUUGUAAACCGCUUUCGCCUGUGACGAAGCGUGAGGGACGGUAAUGGGUAAAGAAGCACCGGCUAACUACGU
rnacentral:rRNA from 1 species